GGGUCGCUAGUUUAUCGGUAGAACACUUUCCUGAUAAGAAAGAGGUGCUUGGUUCGAUUCCAAGGCGACCCA
rfam:Candidatus Roizmanbacteria bacterium RIFCSPLOWO2_01_FTLL_37_16 rifcsplowo2_01_scaffold_1071, whole genome shotgun sequence.